rnacentral:rRNA from 1 species
UGGCUCAGAUUGAACGCUGGCGGCAUGCUUUACACAUGCAAGUCGGACGGCAGCACAGAGAAGCUUGCUUCUUGGGUGGCGAGUGGCGAACGGGUGAGUAACAUAUCGGAACGUACCGAGCAGUGGGGGAUAACUAAUCGAAAGAUUAGCUAAUACCGCAUAUAUUCUGAGGAAGAAAGCAGGGGACCAUUUGGCCUUGCGCUGUUUGAGCGGCCGAUAUCUGAUUAGCUAGUUGGUGGGGUAAAGGCCUACCAAGGCGACGAUCAGUAGCGGGUCUGAGAGGAUGAUCCGCCACACUGGGACUGAGACACGGCCCAGACUCCUACGGGAGGCAGCAGUGGGGAAUUUUGGACAAUGGGCGCAAGCCUGAUCCAGCCAUGCCGCGUGUCUGAAGAAGGCCUUCGGGUUGUAAAGGACUUUUGUCAGGGAAGAAAAGGGCGGGGUUAAUACCCCUGUCUGAUGACGGUACCUGAAGAAUAAGCACCGGCUAACUACGUGCCAGCAGCCGCGGUAAUACGUAGGGUGCGAGCGUUAAUCGGAAUUACUGGGCGUAAAGCGGGCGCAGACGGUUACUUAAGCAGGAUGUGAAAUCCCCGGGCUCAACCUGGGAAUUGCGUUCUGAACUGGGUGGCUAGAGUGUGUCAGAGGGGGGUAGAAUUCCACGUGUAGCAGUGAAAUGCGUAGAGAUGUGGAGGAAUACCGAUGGCGAAAGGCAGCCCCCUGGGAUGGCACUGACGUUCAUGCCCGAAAGCGUGGGUAGCAAACAGGAUUAGAUACCCU